rnacentral:rRNA from 1 species
GAUGAACGCUGGCGGCGUGCCUAAUACAUGCAAGUCGAGCGAACAGACCAGGAUCUUGCUCCUCUGACGUUAUCGGCGGACGGGUGAGUAACACGUGGACAACCUACCUAUAAGACUGUGAUACCUUCGGGAAACCGGAGCUACUGCCGGAUAAUAUAUUGAACAACAUUGUUCAAUAGUUAAAGUCGGUUUUGCUGUCACUUAUAGAUGGACCCGCGCCGCAUUAGUUAGUUGGUAAGGUAACGGCUUACCAACGCAACGAGGCGUAGCCGACCUGAGAGGGUGAUCGGCCACACUGGAAGUGAGACACGGUCCAGACUCUGACGGGAGGAAGCAGUAGGGAAUCUUCCGCAAUGGGCGAGAGCCUGACGGAGCAACGCCGCGGGAGUGAUGAAGGUCUCCGGCUCGUAAAACUCUGUAAGUAGGGAAGAACAAAUGUGUAAGCAACUAUGAACGUCUUGACGGUACCUAAUGAGAAAGCCACGGCUAACUACGUG